rnacentral:rRNA from 1 species
UACGUAGGGGGCAAGCGUUAUCCGGAUUUACUGGGUGUAAAGGGAGCGUAGACGGCAAUGCAAGUCUGGAGUGAAAGGCAGGGGCCCAACCCCCGGACUGCUCUGGAAACUGUAUAGCUGGAGUGCAGGAGAGGUAAGUGGAAUUCCUAGUGUAGCGGUGAAAUGCGUAGAUAUUAGGAGGAACACCAGUGGCGAAGGCGGCUUACUGGACUGUAACUGACGUUGAGGCUCGAAAGCGUGGGGAGCAAACAGG